rnacentral:ncRNA from 1 species
AACAGGGAAGCCGAAAACUGAAAUAAAGAGUAGGCA